UGCCAGACUCCUACGGGAGGCAGCAGUGGGGAAUAUUGGGCAAUGGGCGCAAGCCUGACCCAGCAACGCCGCGUGAAGGAAGAAGGCUUUCGGGUUGUAAACUUCUUUUAUUCGGGACGAAGAAAGUGACGGUACCGAAUGAAUAAGCCACGGCUAACUACGUGCCAGCAGCCGCGGUAAUACGUAGGUGGCAAGCGUUAUCCGGAUUUAUUGGGUGUAAAGGGCGUGUAGGCGGGAAUGCAAGUCAGAUGUGAAAACUCAGGGCUCAACCCUGAGCCUGCAUUUGAAACUGUAGUUCUUGAGUGAUGGAGAGGCAGGCGGAAUUCCGUGUGUAGCGGUGAAAUGCGUAGAUAUACGGAGGAACACCAGUGGCGAAGGCGGCCUGCUGGACAUUAACUGACGCUGAGGCGCGAAAGCGUGGGGAGCAAACAGGAUUAGAUACCCGAGUA
rnacentral:rRNA from 1 species